UGGAAGUAAAAAGUCGUAACAAGGUCUCCGUUGGUGAACCAGCGGAGGGAUCAUUACCGAGUUUACAACUCCCAAACCCAAUGUGAACGUUACCAAACUGUUGCCUCGGCGGGAUCUCUGCCCCGGGUGCGUCGCAGCCCCGGACCAAGGCGCCCGCCGGAGGACCAACCAAAACUCUUUUUGUAUACCCCCUCGCGGGUUUUUUAUAAUCUGAGCCUUCUCGGCGCCUCUCGUAGGCGUUUCGAAAAUGAAUCAAAACUUUCAACAACGGAUCUCUUGGUUCUGGCAUCGAUGAAGAACGCAGCGAAAUGCGAUAAGUAAUGUGAAUUGCAGAAUUCAGUGAAUCAUCGAAUCUUUGAACGCACAUUGCGCCCGCCAGUAUUCUGGCGGGCAUGCCUGUCCGAGCGUCAUUUCAACCCUCGAACCCCUCCGGGGGGUCGGCGUUGGGGAUCGGCCCUCCCUUAGCGGGUGGCCGUCUCCGAAAUACAGUGGCGGUCUCGCCGCAGCCUCUCCUGCGCAGUAGUUUGCACACUCGCAUCGGGAGCGCGGCGCGUCCACAGCCGUUAAACACCCAACUUCUGAAAUGUGACCUCGAUCAGGAGGAANCAAGC
rnacentral:sRNA from 1 species